rnacentral:rRNA from 1 species
UAAGGAAUAUUGGACAAUGGACGCAAGUCUGAUCCAGCCAUGCCGCGUGAAGGAUUAAGGUCCUCUGGAUUGUAAACUUCUUUUAUAUGGGACGAAAAAAGGGCAUUCUUGCUCACUUGACGGUACCAUAUGAAUAAGCACCGGCUAACUCCGUGCCAGCAGCCGCGGUAAUACGGAGGGUGCAAGCGUUAUCCGGAUUCACUGGGUUUAAAGGGUGCGUAGGCGGGUAGGUAAGUCAGUGGUGAAAUCUCGAAGCUUAACUUCGAAACUGCCAUUGAUACUAUCUAUCUUGAAUAUUGUGGAGGUUUGCGGAAUAUGUCAUGUAGCGGUGAAAUGCUUAGAUAUGACAUAGAACACCUAUUGCGAAGGCAGCAGGCUACACAUAUAUUGACGCUGAGGCACGAAAGCGUGGGGAUCAAACA